UGACCAUAUCACGUUCAAACACCUUUUCACGUACUCCCAUCGAAGUUAAACAACAUUGCGCCUUGUCAGUACAUAGAUGGGUGACCGCUUGGGAAUACCACGUGUCGUAAG